rnacentral:rRNA from 1 species
AACGAACGCUGGCGGCAUGCCUAACACAUGCAAGUCGAACGAGACCUUCGGGUCUAGUGGCGCACGGGUGCGUAACGCGUGGGAACCUGCCCUUAGGUUCGGAAUAACUCCCCGAAAGGGGUGCUAAUACCGGAUAAUGUCUUCGGACCAAAGAUUUAUCGCCUUUGGAUGGGCCCGCGUUGGAUUAGCUAGUUGGUAGGGUAAAAGCCUACCAAGGCGAUGAUCCAUAGCUGGUCUGAGAGGAUGAUCAGCCACACUGGGACUGAGACACGGCCCAGACUCCUACGGGAGGCAGCAGUGGGGAAUAUUGGACAAUGGGCGAAAGCCUGAUCCAGCAAUGCCGCGUGAGUGAUGAAGGCCUUAGGGUUGUAAAGCUCUUUUACCCGGGAUGAUAAUGACAGUACCGGGAGAAUAAGCGCCGGCUAACUCCGUG